UACGUAGGGUGCGAGCGUUGUCCGGAAUCACUGGGCGUAAAGCGCACGUAGGCGGCUUUUUAAGUCAGAGGUGAAAUCCUGGAGCUCAACUCCAGAACUGCCUUUGAUACUGGAGAGCUUGAGUCCGGGAGAGGUGAGUGGAACUGCGAGUGUAGAGGUGAAAUUCGUAGAUAUCGGGAGGAACACCGGUGGCGAAGGCGGCGAUCUGGGUCGAUACUGACGCUGAGGUGCGAAAGCGUGGGGAGCAAACAGG
rnacentral:rRNA from 1 species